UCAUGACUCAGGACGAACGCUGGCGGCGUGCCUAAUACAUGCAAGUCGAGCGAGCGGAACUAACAGAUUUACUUCGGUAAUGACGUUAGGAAAGCGAGCGGCGGAUGGGUGAGUAACACGUGGGGAACCUGCCCCAUAGUCUGGGAUACCACUUGGAAACAGGUGCUAAUACCGGAUAAGAAAGCAGAUCGCAUGAUCAGCUUUUAAAAGGCGGCGUAAGCUGUCGCUAUGGGAUGGCCCCGCGGUGCAUUAGCUAGUUGGUAAGGUAAAGGCUUACCAAGGCGAUGAUGCAUAGCCGAGUUGAGAGACUGAUCGGCCACAUUGGGACUGAGACACGGCCCAAACUCCUACGGGAGGCAGCAGUAGGGAAUCUUCCACAAUGGACGCAAGUCUGAUGGAGCAACGCCGCGUGAGUGAAGAAGGUUUUCGGAUCGUAAAGCUCUGUUGUUGGUGAAGAAGGAUAGAGGUAGUAACUGGCCUUUAUUUGACGGUAAUCAACCAGAAAGUCACGGCUAACUACGUGCCAGCAGCCGCGGUAAUACGUAGGUGGCAAGCGUUGUCCGGAUUUAUUGGGCGUAAAGCGAGCGCAGGCGGAAGAAUAAGUCUGAUGUGAAAGCCCUCGGCUUAACCGAGGAACUGCAUCGGAAUCUGUUUUUCUUGAGUGCAGAAGAGGAGAGUGGAACUCCAUGUGUAGCGGUGGAAUGCGUAGAUAUAUGGAAGAACACCAGUAAAUAAG
rnacentral:rRNA from 1 species